GUCGACGCUUGUUUGGCGUGCAAGUUGCACGAUAGAGAUUGGAGUGACGGCGCGAAAAGACUCCAGCGCUCACCUAUCAUGCUCCAAAGCCUGUUGUUCUUGGGAAAUCAAUAUCUGAAAGGUGCAAGGAUUUCACCCAGAGCUUCAUGCAUCGCUGGCUACUCAUUCAACGUGUGUUUGACCAGAUUCAAUUGGAAGCACAUGGUUGCUGAGAAAUGAGCUGGGAGAAGCGACCCCUUUAACCUCUAAAGUUUCUGAAAGGAAGAAAAAGCAGGAAAGUGGGAUCUGGUUGGCAUGAGGAGAUAGUGUGUGUGGGGGAUUGGUGUGGUGGGGGAAAUUGGGGAGGUGUUGGUCAGUCAAGUGGGAAAAGGCCUCAGUUUUUCAUUUCAUCAAGCAAUAAAACCCCCAAGCCCUUGUGGCCUUUAUCUGUGCUGUGAUCUAAGUACAUUAUAAGGCUGAAACUCAAUGUUAAGAAAGCGGCUGGAGGAAGUGAUGAUUACUACAGAAAGUCCAGGCAAAGUAAUGAGAAAGUAGUGCUGGAUAACAUCAAAACCAAUUAAGUCCAUCCAGGUUCAAUUCAACCUUGAAAAUUUUCAUCCAUCUAUUUUGAAUCCUGUCUAAAUGUACAGAUUAAUUUGCUUUAAAAUACAGGGAGGAAUUCGCUGAGAAUGAAGUGCGCCCGCUGAUUGGAUGGUUUAUUUGCAUGCUGUGCAUUGUUUUACUGCCCAAUCCACUAAAGGAAUUAUGCAAAUCUAGGCAACAAAGCAAACGUGCUUCCAAAAAUGUGUAUUUUUUUAAAUUACUAUUGCACAGGUAUGGAGAAUGCAGCAGACUAUCACAAUCUGGCAUGCUUUACUGGAACUGUAGCACCCACUGCGACCCAUUUUAAAAGGCCAAAACUGUGUGUUUUCAAGGCACUUCUGGGUGUAUGCCUGGUUAUUGCACUCUUCCCAUCAUUUGAUCUUUAUUUGAUGAAAUUACUGCUGCCAUAAAAUGCAAACAAACAUCUCUUUUUAAUAAAAUUCAGUUUACCUCCUGCGGUCUGUGGGCGGUAUAGUGCUGCGUUUUGUAAAUAAGCCACAAUCUAUAAAUAAUAAGCCUAAUUUACAUAAAAAGAGGUGUAUUUUGUGCUGUAUAGAAUCGCAGCGACUUCCACAGAUUUUACGCCGAUAUUGCCUGGUUAGUGAAUAAGAUGUCGGAAUGAACCCCACGCUGUUUAGACUCAUCUAAUUCUGAAUGCUAUCUUACAAACCCAGGACUUGCGAUGUUACGGCGAUAACUAAUGUGGGUUUUUGUCAGCUAGAUGAGCUGUAGGAUGACUCAUAAAGAGAUGCUCUGACAAAAGCGUGACACGCAUGCAGUGGAUUCGUACCAAGUUAUGCUCUAUUUUCAGUGAAUGACACCUUUAAUUGAUGCAGCGACUGGGGACUCAUGUACCGCAAAGUCAGAUGGGUGUGAAAAUACAGAGGGAUUGAGAAAGAGGAAGAAGUAUUGCUGCUGUUUUCCCUAAGCAUGAAAAAUGAGACCGAGUCCGUCUCAACCAUAUUAUCCCUCUCCCAAAGUGCUUUGUAGACAGCCAUUCAUCUUUCUGCAUCGCGCCCCCUUUAUCUGUCACUCCUGUCUCAUCUCUACACCUCUCAUCCUGCUCCACUAUCCUCCACCUGAAUAUAAUUUGCUGAAACUUUACCAAAGCAACUCAGGGCCUGUAACUCAUCUUCAUUGGCUCAGACCAUUUCACACUGACCGUCAUGUCACACAUCUCCAUUGUCUAAUCAUCACCGUUACCUUCAGCUUCGUAAUAGCUCUGGCGGACCUGUUACAGAUGUAGUGUUUAAUGACAAACAGUAAUCAGGAGGGAUUUGGUGACGCAUUUAAUCUGUGGUUUUACAGCUUUGUCCAUGGAUGAUUUUAUCCCCUGAGGCAGAUUCUUAUGAGCUCACUUACUCAGCCUGACAGAAAGUGAUGUCGGAGCAGCAUGAUAAAAAAAAAAAAAGCACCGCAUUGGGAAAGAGGGGGGAAAUCACAAUUCGGCUUUGUAUCUUAACGACAACCACCGGGCAGACAUUUCUUUGAUGGCAGCUCAUUACUUUUUCAUGUUUAAGUUCAAUGAAUGAAUAAAAAUGAACA